GAUGAACGCUAGCGAUAGGCUUAACACAUGCAAGUCGAGGGGCAGCAUGGUCUUAGCUUGCUAAGACUGAUGGCGAUCGGCGCACGGGUGCGUAACGCGUAUGCAACUUGCCUCACAGAGGGGGAUAACCCGUCGAAAGACGGACUAAUACCGCGUACACUCCAUCUUGGGCAUCCAAGGUAGAGGAAAUGAAAUUCGCUGUGAGAUAGGCAUGCGUCCCAUUAGCUAGUUGGUGAGGUAACGGCUCACCAAGGCGACGAUGGGUAGGGGAACUGAGAGGUUGAACCCCCACACUGGUACUGAGACACGGACCAGACUCCUACGGGAGGCAGCAGUGAGGAAUAUUGGUCAAUGGGCGAGAGCCUGAACCAGCCAAGUCGCGUGAAGGAUGACUGUCUUAUGGAUUGUAAACUUCUUUUAUACGGGAAUAACAAGAGUCACGUGUGACUCCCUGCAUGUACCGUAUGAAUAAGCAUCGGCUAACUCCGUG
rnacentral:rRNA from 1 species